CCCUGAUGAAAUGACGUCCAUGGUCAGAUCAGGACAUGUAAACAUUUAGAAAAUAUGCAGGAAACCAGAUGAUGGGUUGGGCAUUGAAAUGGGCCACAAGUAUCAAUUCCUUCAACUAAUAGAGUUACUGUUGUGCAAAAAAAUUGAAGACAAGUACAGUAUAUUACAUCUGCAGAGGCAAGUUGAUAUUUGAUUUCAUUUUACUCCACAAUUAUAGAUCCAGUUAU